UCCCUGCUAGCUCAGUGGUAGAGCGCCUCACUAGUAUCUCACCAGACGCUAUGAGGAGGUCAGUCGUUCAAGUCGGCUGUGGGGAA